rnacentral:tRNA from 1 species
GCCCCCGUAGCUCAGCGGACCAGAGCACCAGGUUCCGAACCUGGGGGUCGGCGGUUCGAUCCCGCCCGGGGGUA